rnacentral:lncRNA from 1 species
AAUGACCCAAAAGAACUAAGAUUCGACAUGAAUGUGAAGAAUUGGGUUACAUAGGGGAAGUGUUUCCAGUAGCGGAUAAGACAUACAUGUGGAAUAGAGGAAAGAAAGUAAUUUAAUAGUCAGAUGGUCUCUGCUGCGAAUCCAGAUCUGCUCAGUGAGAGUGUAUCAUAGGGUCUAGCCAGGAAAACAGAAACCACUCUACGUCUUUCAAACCGAUGCAUUUAAUCAAGGGAAAUUAUUAUCCAAAAUGAUGAAAAACCUGAGAAGCCAUUAGGAGAUGGAAGGCAACAGGAGAAAACUGUAACCACAACUAGAGGUGAUGAAACAACAGGAGGAAAUGGGUAACCAGAGCCCAGCAUCUGGAGCUGUCCAGGAGAAGCUGGAGUCAGUGAAGACUGCCUAGUGGGAAAGACGAUCAUUGAAGGAGGAGCUUUCUUAAGGUUUCAUUCCUGCUCCCAGCAAGCAGUUUCUCAAAUGUGUGCUGCUGGUUCCUACUUGAAGACUGAUGAGAAAUGAUGACAGCCCCAUAUCAACUCGCCAUGAUAAUCCUAACAUUUCUCUGCCACUGUAAAGAUGAGGAAACAAAGAUGCAGAUUCUUAUUGUCUUCUCAAGUACAUAGUGAGGAGCAGAACCUUUUCUUCUGGAAAACCAGAUUUAAAGAAAUAAGUACAUAGGCAACUCAAGGGCCUCAGACACAGACUGGAAUCUACACCAUCUGUGGACCUUUCCUGGGCCUCCAGCUUGCAGACAGCAGGUCUGCAAAAUCAGAUCAGCAGAUCUGUGGAACCACACAGCCUCUGCCAUCAUGUGAGCCAGUUCCUUAUAAUAAAUCUAUUUACAUGAAUGUAUAUAUCUUAUUGGUUCUGUUUCCCUAGAGAACCCUAAUACAAAGGAUUCCCUCUCAGAUAUGUAUAGAAAUUUAUUUUUAUGAGUUUCUAGCCAGGCAUUCAUGUGAUACCAAUUCUUGGCCAGUACUAAACUUUGACUCUUAAUGAUUAAACCACACUCUUUAGGGAGACCACAAUGUGGGGACACAUUAACAGAAGCCAAACACCACACAAGCAAUGAAACAAGAAGGACACACGUCAUCUGCUAAAAAUGUGUGUGUGUGUGUGUGUGUGUGUGUGUGUGUGUGUGUGUGUGUGUAACAUCAGGGAUCAACAAUGCAUGAGUUUGGGAAGACCAGAUGAUGAGACCCAGCUUACAAGGUAUUUUGUAUUUCUAAUUGUUAUAAAACCCGCCAGAUUCAAAGUAAGUGAGAAAUACAGAUAUAGAAAUGGCACUCAUAAAUGAAUUCAACUCCAAAGUGAAUAAAACUUAAGACUAUUUUAAAAUAAAAGUGCAAUUUUAUUUAAAUAAAAUAAAUGCUUUGAGUUAUUUUAAAAUAAAUAUUAGAAGAGCGAACCCAAAUGUUAACUAUGGACUUGGGUGAUAAUGAUGUGCACUGUAGGUUCAUAAAUAAUUGUAAGAUAUUUACCACUCUGGCACAGGAGGCGGAUGGUGGGGUAGUCUGGGUGUGUGUAGGGGGAAGGGAGUGGGAGGACAGAGGGCAUAUAGGAACUCUGUACUUUCUGCCCAGUUUAGCCCUGAACCUAAAACUGUCCUAAAAAUAGAGUGCUUUUUUAAAAAAAAGAAAAAUUAUUUUUUUAAAAGCACAUUUUCUGGAGUUGUGAUCUUCAGGAUUACUGCUAGCAAUUGCAUUUUACAAACAUGCAGAGGCCAGUGGCUUCCAAUCUCUGAGUAUAAUAUGUUGGUCUGGAGGAUAGACUCUGUUUACCUUUUGGAUCCAGACUUUGGUUCUGAAUGAACAUAUUUUAUAGAACAUGCAAAGGGCAGCCGAGCUCGAGGAAGCCUGCAGAGUUCUGCAGUGUGAAGGCACACUGAGCAGAGAUGGCAUUUCCAGUUUUCACAGAAGAUGCCACAGCUCUUGCAUAUACUGUAUCUCCUUCCAACUUAAGUUCCCAAAAGGUAAAAUCACCCUAAACAACCACUUUUAAAAGUCUAAAUCACUUUCCUAAAAACCAGAGGAAAUAAAAAUCACAGUUAAUAUAAAACCAACUACUAAUACUUCCUCUUCUACUACAUGACUGUGUGCAUAAAUAAAACUCUGCAGACAAUUCAAGGGAGCUUUAGAAAAUCCCAGGUAUCUACAGAGGUUAUUGUUCUCUUUGAUUUACCAAUAGGGAGAAUUUAAUUGGUGCAUUUAUUGUGUUUAUCACUGUAGUAACAUGAAUGAAAAUUUUCAGGUCUCUGUCUGGCUUAGAAGGAUCACUGCAAUGCGAUGCCACUGUCUUCCUUCAGGAUGCACCCAUGUGCUGAGGGAUGUGUGCAUUCACCCACUUAGGAGGCUAUAAUCAAAGCUGGCGGUCAGAGCUGGUGUUGGACCUUCCUACUGCCAAGUAUGAGUUGAUUAAUAGCGUGAAUUUUUACUCCGCCUUGUGGUCUUCUGAUUUUUCCCCACAUAUCAGAACCUUGAAUUUACAGUACGAUUAGUAGACUUUGAACAAAUAUUUUAACUGAAUGACUAAUUGAAUAAAUGAUUUAAUUAACACAAGGUGAGUUCAGGGACCAAAUAAUUUGGAUGAUUUACAAGGUUCAUGAAAGAACAGCAGAUAAGGCUGGACUGUGGAUUGGAGAUAGAGUGUAGGAUAUCCUGAAUGCCAGCUGAGGAGGUGGGAGGAGAGGAGCCUCCAGAGGUUUCUGAGUGGGGCGGGAGCACAAUCAAAGCAUGCUUAGUAUGACUGUGAUUAGAAGUCAUGAGUCAAAGUAAAUAUCUGAGAGACAUACCUAAAAAACAAUUUUCUCUUCUUAUUUUUCAUGUUGUUAAUGAAUUAUUUUUAAGUGGGUUUUAAGUUAACCUGAAAAGGUCUUGAAAUUUCAAUAAAAUUAAAACAUUCCAUUUCCCAGAGCUCAUGCAAAAGAAUAUUUCAUAAGUGAUGUAUUUCCAAGGAAAAGAACAUUGACAUACUCUGACUACAUGCUACCUAAAAUAAUAGAGGUUAUUGGUUAAAUAUAUUAAUAACGAGAAUCAUACUAAUAGUUAAUAAGCUUAUGUGUAGUUCUCCGACUUUUUUGAAAUAAUUUAAACAUGUGUUAAGACCUAACAUUUUUACUUAUUCUUUAAAGCUACAUACAGCUUUUUAAAAAUAGCUUUAUUAAAGAGAUAAUUAACAUAUCACAAAACUCAGCCAUUUAAGUGUACAAUUCAAUGGUUUUAGUAAAUUUGCAGAGUUGUACAACCAUCAACACAGUCUAAUUUUAGAAUAUUUUCAUCAACAAAAAGAAACCCCAUAUGCAUUAGCAGUCAAUUCUCACUCCACGCCCAUCCAUCCCCAGCCCUAGGUAACUUAAUCUUUCUGUGUCUAUAGAUUUUCUUAUGCUGGACAUUUCAUUAAAAUGGUAUCAUACAAUAUGUGGUCUUUUAUGACUAGUUUGUUUCACUUAGCAUAAUGUUUUCAAGAUUCAUCCAUGUUAUAGCAUGUUUGAGUAAGUAUUUCUUUUUAUACUGAAUAAUAUUCCAUUAUAUGAAUAUGCUAUUUUUUAAUCCAUACAUUCAUUUAUGGACAUUUGGGUUGUUUUUAUUUUGGGCUAUUAUGAAUAAUUCUCCUAGGAACUUCCAUGCACAAGAUUUUAUGUAGGCAUAUUUUUUCUUUCUAUUGGAUAUGUAUCUAGAAGCAGAAUUGCUUGGUCAUCUGGUAACUCCAUGUUUUACAUUUUUAGGAGCUGCCAAACGGUUUUCCAAAAUAGCUACACUAUUUUACAUUCCUAUCAACAUUAUUUGAGAGUCGCAGUUUACCACAUCCUUGCCAAUGUUUGUUACUAUUUUUAAUUAAAGCUAUCCUAGUGGGUGCAGGUGGUAUCACAUUGUGGAUCACAUUGUGGUUUUGAUUUGCAUUUCCCUAAUGGCUAAUCAAUGUGAACAUCUUUUUAUGUGCUUAUUAUUCAUUGUAUAUCUUCUGUGGAUAAAUAUCUAUUCAAAUCCCUUGUCCAUUUUUAAUUUGGUUAUUCAUCUUUUCAUUAUGAGUAUGAGGGUUCUUUAUAAAUUCUGGCUACAAAUCCCUUCUCAUAUAUUUGAUUUGAAAGUGUUUUCUUCCAUUCAGUGAGUUUUUCUUUUACUUCCUUUGAUAAUGUCCUUUAAUGCAUAAAAAGUUUCCAGUUUUCAUAAAGUUCAAUUUAUCAAUUUUUUCUUUUGUCACUUAUGCUUUUUGUGUUAUAUCUAUAAAAAUCACUGCCUAACCCAAAGUCACAAACACUCUUAGGUUUUAUUCUAAAAAUUUAUCAUUGUAGCUCUUAUUUUUAGGUCUAUAAUCCAUUUUGAGUUAAAUUUUGCAGAUAGUGUGAGGUACAGGUCCAACUUCAUUCUUUUGCAUUCAGUUAUCCCAGAACCAUUUGUUGGAAGUACUAUUCUUUCUCUACAAAACUGUGUUGGUACCUCUGCCAAGGAUCAAUUCUUCAUAAAUAUAUGGGUUUAUUUCUGGGCUGUCAAUUCUAUUCUGUUGAUCUAUAUACCUAUCCUUGUGCCAGUACCACACUGUUUUGAUUAAUGUAGCUUUUAUAAUGAGUUUUGAAAUCAGGAAAUAUGAGUGUCCAAGUUUGUUCCUCUUUUUCAAGAUUGUUUACCUAUUCUGGGUCUAUUGCAUUUCCGUAUAAAUUUUAAGAUCGGCUUGUGAAUUUCAGCAAAAAUUCCAGAUAAAAAAAUUUUUAUAGGGAUUGCAAUGAAUCUGUAGAUCAGUUUGGAGAAUACUCCCAUCUUGUCAUCUUAACAAUAUUAAUUCCUCCAAUUCAUAAAUAAAUAUGGGCUUUUCCCUUAUUUCAGUCCUUUAAAAUUUCUUUCAGUAAUAUUUUAUACUUUUCAUUGUACAAGUAUGACACUUGUUAAAUUUAUACUUAAGUAUUUUAUUCUUUUUAUUCUAUUGUUAAUAAAAUUGUUUUCUUAAUUUCAUUUUUAAUUUUGCAUUGUUAGUAUAUAGAAAUAUAAUAGAGUUUUGUAAAUAUCUUGCAUCUUGAAACCCUGAUAAACUCAUUUAUAAUUUUUAAUUGAAUUCCUGAAUAUUUUCUAUAUACAUGAUGAUGUUGUCUGCAAAUAGUUGUUUUACUUUUUCCUUUCUAAUAUGGAUACCUUUUAUUUAAAAAUACUUUUAUUCUGCCUUUUAUAUUUACUUAUGCAGUUACCUUUACUAAUGCUCUUUAUUUAUUCCCGUGGAGUCAAGCACUCCCUAUUGUCCUUUCAUCCUUUCAAUUCUGUAUGAAGGAUUCCUUUUAAUACGUUUUGUAAGGCAGUCUUGAUAGAGACAAAUUCUCUCAGUUUCUGUUUGUCUGGUAGUGUUUAAUUUUUCCUUCAUUUUUGACAUGUAGUUUUGCUGGAUGUGAAAUUCUUCUAUUACAGUCUUUUUCUUUCAGCACUUUAGAUACAUCAGCCCCGGUAAAAAGUAAUUUGAGGAAAAAAAAUAGAUAUGUUAUCCACUGCCUUCUGGCCUAUGUAGUUUCUGAUGAGAAGCUAAUUAUUAAUCUUAAUGAAGAUUCUUUACACAUGAUAGAUCAUUUUUCCCUUGUUGCUUUUAAGAUUCUCUCUCUGCCUUUGUCUGUUGAAAAUUUGACUAUAAUAAUGUAUAGGUAUGGAUCUCCUUGAAUUUAUUCUACUUGGAGUUUGUUGAGUGUGUGUGUGUGUGUGUGUGUAUAUAUAUAUAUUUAAAAUCAAACUUAGGCAGUUUUGGGCCAUAAUUUUUUCAAGUAAUCAUUCUGCUUCUUUCUUUCCUCUAUUCUCACAUUCCAAUUACACAUAUACAUUUGUAUACUUGAUGGUCCCACAGAUCUUUGAAUCUCUGUUUAUUUUUCCUUUCUGUUUCUCACAAUGGAUAAUAUCAAUUGAUCUACAUUAAAGUUCACCAUUUUUUUUCUUCUGUCAGCUAAAAUCUGCUCUUGGGCCUCUCUGGUGCAUUUUUCAUUUUAGCUUAAUACUUUUCAAUACCAGAAUUUCUAUUUUGUUUUUUAUAAUUUUAUCUCUUUAUUGAUAUUCUCUAUUUGGUGAGAUAUUGUUGUCAUACUUUCCUUGAUUUAUUUUCAUGUUUUCUAUUAGUUCUUUAAACACUUCAUAAAAGCUGAUUUAAAAUCUUUGUCUAAUAACUCUAAGAUUUGGGAUCCCUCAGGGCCAGUUUCCAUUGACUCCUAUUUUCCUGUGUAUGGAUAAUUCUUUCUUGCUUUUUUAUGUGUCUCAUAAUUUCUUGUUGAAAAUUGGACAUUUUAAAUAAUAUAAUGUGGCAACUCUGGAAAUCAGAUCAACACCUCCCAACCAAGGUGUGUGGGUGUGUGUGAGAAAGGUUGCUAUCAUUUUGUUGUAUUUGUUGUUUUUUUUUUUGUUUUGUAACUUUCCUAAGCUAAUCCUGUAAAGUCUAUAUUCUUCAUAGUGUGUAACCACGGUUCUGUUCAGUUACGUUGUUAAUCAGCUAAUGCUUGGUCAGAGAUUUCUUAAAUGCCUCCAAAAAUUAAAUCUUUCAACCUUUACUCUCAGGCUCUGUGUGUGUGUGUGUGUGUGUGUGUGUGUGUGUGUGUGUGUGUGUGUGUGUGUGUUGGGGCAUGCUUUCCAUGUUCAGGCAGCCAGUUUACAAACUCUACCCUAGACUUCAUUUCCUGCUUGCACAGGGCUUCAAGAUCAGCCAAAGACUAGAGACUGGGGCCGUCUCAGGUCUUUACUGGGCAUACACACAACCUUGCAUGUAAGUGCAGCCAUCUAGAUCCCCAGGAAUAUCUUAGAGCUCUUGAAAAGCCCCAGGGACAUCUCAUUUCCCUUAUCUACGUUUUAAGUUUCUGGCCAGGCUCUUGUUUAUCUCUCAUGUUAAGUAAUUACCACUAAUUGUUUUUGAAAAAUUCCCUGGGGAUAGGGCUUUUCCUUUAACAUAUGUUGUGAAUCAGAUCAAAUAACAACUGCUCCUUUUGAGUGGGCUUUUCCAGAGGCUGUGAGAUAGGUCAAACAGUGACAGUGCUCUGCAGAUAGAACAUUCUGUGGAGUUACAAACCCCAUCUACCCCGCCAGUGGCUGCAUGGCUGCUGUUUUUCAUAGCUACUAUGAUUGUGAGGCUGCUGAUUUUCCAGGCUACUGCAGAGAUGGGGAAAGAGUGAUAACAGGAGAUAAAGUACCACAAACUCUGCAGUUCUUAAUGAGGUUCAGCAGUUUUUCCUGAAUAAGCAGUUUUCAGAUUGUUACAAGACUUUGUUAAUUUCUAGAAGUCUAAAACGUUAUUAGUGUUUUCAUGGCUUAGUGUGCCAGUGUUUUCAUGGCUUUUAUGGCAGGGCAAAUUAUAGAGGUAGAGGUCCUCAUACUGCCAUUCCAGAAGUUUCCUACUAGUAUUAUUUUUAAAGGAAAACAAAGUUUAAUUGAAGAUUUUUGUGCAUUAUAAAUGAUUCUUCAUCUUUAUUUUCAACUGUUUUAUUUAGGCAAUUGCAUAUUGUAGUUCAAAAUUCAAUAUUAAUUUACAGAGUGUGACAGAAGCCUACAUUUUCCUAGUUUCUUUCAGCACCUUCUUCAUAUCACAUAUUUCCUCGUGUUAUAUAGAGGGCUGAAUCUCCCAAGUAACUCUCCUUUUUAUUCCCCUUAAUUUAGUUAUGCUUUUUUUAACAUGUGGUACCCAGAGCCAGACAUAUUAUUUUUUAUGUAAUCAGAUCUUUGCAGGACAUACGAGGGCUUUCACAUUUCUCCUGUUAAGGGUAUUAUGUUUUUAUUGCUGUUGUUUAUUAGCAAACACACUUGACUGAGUAUAUAAACCUACCCAGAUUCAAAUCAACUUGAAGCAAGACACGAGAUAAUAGAAAUUGCAAGAUAAAUGCUGAACAGGUUGGUUUUUCUCUUUUGGACUUUGGGGACUUGGGUCCAGUGAGAUCUGAAAAUACCCAAAAAAGCUAGCAAAAUACCAAAGCACACAAAUUUACUUGUUAUUUUAUUUUGUUAUUCUUUAAAACUAUUUUAUAAAAUUUAUUUAAAGUAGAUUAACAAAAGAUUUCUUCUUCCAUUGUGAAAUGCGUUAUUUUCAAAUAUCUUUCUGAUAUCUGAUCAUUUGGUAAAAGAGCUCAUUCUUUCCUAUUAACUAGCCACACACAUACACUUUUUUAAAUAUUUUAAAUAUCAAGAAUACAAAAAGGGAAAAUACACUUAUUUGGCCAUUAAACCUUUCUGGCAUCUUAUUAAAAUCUUAUCAUAAGACAUGAAAAUAAUUGAUUUUAUUGAAGAUGUCCUCAUUCAGUUCAUCUAUAUCUAAGUGAUAUGCAGUAUGCAUAAUCCUUUGUCAACAUUCAAAUAAAUUUAAGACCAUAUUUUGGCAUGAUAAGUUCUAGUUUCUUAAAACUUGUACAAUUCAUGGCUGGACGCUGUGGCUCACACCUGUAAUCCUAGCACUCUGGGAGGCUGAGGAGGUCAGAUCACCUGAGGUCAAGAGUUCGAGACCAGCCUGGCCAACAUGGCAAAACCCUGUCUCUACUAAAAAUACAAAAAUUCACCGGAUGUGGUGGUACAUGCCUGUAAUCCCAGCUACAUGGGAGGGUGAGGCAGGAAAAUCACUCGAACCCAGGAGGUGGAGGUUGCAGUGAGCCAAGAUCACACCAUUGCACGCCAGCCUGGGUGAAAGAAUGAGACUCUGCCUCAAAGAAAAAAAAAAUUUACAAUUCAUACAGAGCAAUUCUCCCACUAUAAUUUAGCCUUCUUAUUUAUGAUGUUCAUCUGAAAUUCAUACCAUUGCUUAAUAGAAUACCUCAAAAUCUCUUUCUGAUAAAUUCAGUGGCUCCACAUUUGAGCAUGAAAAGCAGCAGAAAUAAUCAAAGUAUAUUUUAAAACUGAAGACAACUAAACUGUCAGUUUAAAGGAACACUUGUUAUCAAACUUCUAUCUUACAAACAUUUAGGCUCCACCUAAAAAUCUAGAGCAAAGACCAAAACAUUGUUUUGACAGAGUCUAAGAAGAAUGUGAGGAACAAAGAAGCAAGAGAAAACAUGAAAAACUAAAAUUGAUAUCUCUCUGGCUCCCUCUGUUUGUUUUUUUUUUUUUUUUUUUUAGCUGUAUGACUUAUUAGAUAAUUGUUGCCAUUUAUAACAAGGAUAUUAUACUUUUCUAUUUGUGGUGUUAACCAGAGGCACAGAGCACACAGAAAUGGGGAGCUGGAUGCAUAUAUUUACAUAUUUAAAUUUUAUAAUCCCUAGAUCUCUACUUUUUAGCUUCUUUCUCAAAUAGAUUGAAACCCUUCCCUGGAUGACUGAUGGAACAGAUUGGAGUUUUAUUGCUAAAGGGGAAUAAGAAAGUAGAAAGCCAUGUGCUAUAAUGGAGGCGUACUUUGCAAUCCUCUCAUUUUAAAUGUAUAUUAACAACUUGAUUCUAUAAUGGAAUAACUUCAAGAGUAGCUCUAAGCUCUCUACAAAAUGGCUAACUAUAUUCUUCUUAUUCAUUUCAACCUUCUAAAUAAAACAUGCGACCUCUUCACCCCCACUUAAAAUGGCAGCAUUGAGUUUUUCUACAAUAUUCAUUAUUAUAUAUGUCUUUGAGCCUCUGUUAAAAAUAUGAAUAUGGAACCUUGGCACUAAUAAAUGAGCUUGAUCUACACUAUGCAAAAGGUAUCAGAAAUAAUCAGUACACUAUCUAGGGAGAAGUCCAAGACAAUAUCCAUUUGGUUUUCUUCCUUAAUUUUGUAGACUUAUUUUAUUUGGUGAGAGAAGAUUCUUUGGGUUCAGAGUGGCCUAGAUUUGAGUUUCAGGUUUAUCUCUUUACUAACUGUGAGAACUUAUGCGAGUUACUUACAUAUACUAAAAUAUACUGAGUCUCAAUUUCCUCAUCUGUAAAAUACGGAUAAUAAAACCUGUUGGCAGGACCAAAUCAUAAAUUAAAUGACUGCACUGAAAGGAGAGUUUGACUCCUACGAACCUCUAAGACAUUCAUUGUACAGGAACAACCUCCAAGUUCCUCAAUGUAUGUGGAGAUUCAAUAAAAGACCAUCUCGUUAGAGAUGUGAAAAAAUGUUUUCCUGAAGAGAUUACCCCUGUCAAUAUAAAAUUAUUUUAUUUUCUGGAGUUACAACUGUGUUAAAAAUUACAUCAACUCUUUUAUCUGUUGUAGGAAGUGAGCAUUUAAAGUAAAAGUUUCUUAAUUGUCAAUACUUUGUAUUGAAAUCCUAACCUAUUACUUUCUCCAGCUGUUCUGCCUAGAACAAGGUUGUUUCCCCAUGCCCCAGUUAAAGAUUUCAGGCAUCAGAAAUAUAGAAAUUAAAGAAAGAAGGGAAGGGAAGGAGAAGCGCAAGAGAGAAUGUAUGUUUUGGGGGUAGGGAAGAGAAAUGGGUAGUAGCAAUGUGUGUAUAUGUGUGUAGCAGAGGUGCUGAUAAGAGUGGCUACUUCUCAGCUAUCUGAGGAUGAAACUAAAUCUCUCUAUUGUCUUUUAAUUCAUACAAUCCCUUCUGAAGACAGAUGCAUUUUUCUUUCCUUAUGUUAUCAGAGUCACUUUCUGCAAUCUCAAAAGCAGUUCAAAACCAAAGGAUAUCAAAAGCCAAUGCAGUUUGGAGAAAGUCUGAAACCCAGGGCUCUGCACUGCUUGUCUCUUUCUAAAUUGAAGUGCAGAAGUGCAUUAAGGCUGUUGCCAUCAAUCACUGUUCAAACCCAGGAUAAAAGAUCUGUACCUGCUGGAAGGCAAUCUCCCACCCCACAGUGCUGCAAUCAAAUGUAUAAUUUUUGUGAAUUUCCACCAAAACUUUCUACAGUAUCUGGCUUAUGCCCCUGAUUGUAUUAUCUUCCAUGUUUAGGUUAUAUCUUUCCCCCAAAAAUUGUUAGGAAACAUUUGCUUACUGCCAUGUAACAUCUAAAAAUAUAAAGACAUUAAGAGAUGUGAGAAAAUGCCUACGGGUUUUUGUAUUCCAAUUGCCAUCCCUGAAAGCCACAACAGAGUGAUUCACUGUUUUUCAUGGAGAAAACUACCAAUCAACAGAGAAAAAAAAAGGAGACACUGAGGGAUAUAGUGUGGGCAGCUCUAGUUAUAGUCAUUCAUUAUCACAGCUUGCACACUGCACAAUGGGAGCUUCAAAAGAUCACAGCUGGACUUUCCAUGAAGCACAUGUUACAGGACAUCACAAGCUGGGUCCCACAUCAUCUGGGUCAGGGGCCAGGCCAAAGUUGUAAUGAAAAGCAUUACAACAAGUUUAGAAGUUUUCAGAAGAAAGACGAAGAAGAGAUAUAAAAUUCACACAUAUGAACUUAUUUGGGAGAAACCUGAUGGAGGAAAAUGAAAGAAAAAAAGAUGGAACAAGAGCAUUCCUAGUUAGAAAUUUAACUUUUUUUAAACAAGGAAAACCAAGAAAUACAAUAUAAUAGUGUCUUUUUAAACAGAGAAGAAUAUGACUCCAUAAGCAAGGCCUUGGAAUUUUACUGCAAAGGGCUGACAUAUGUAGUGAACAAAGAUCAGAAUUAUAAAAUCAAAAAUAAAAAUGUAGCCCUAUUUCCAGGCUGAAGUGAGCUGACAAGCCACAUCCACUAUGUGCCUGGGGGUCCCUGUCUUGGGUCAUUCAGUCUCCCAGAACUGUCCACAAACCAGUAGACAGUUUCCUUCUCAUCUUGGAGAGGUGGGGAGAGCUGGGGUCCUGAGUUGAAAGGCUUGAGCUACUGGCAAUGGCUCUGACAUGAAAACAAGCCCUAUCUCUCUGUACAGGCCCCACAGCCAAGCUUCCAGCAAGCAGUAGCUCUGGAGACUGUAGCCAAGAAUGAUCAAAAGCAAAACCCCACACCCAUGAGACAAAUCUAAUAUAUCAUCCACAGCACCCUCUAACUGGAGGCACAGACUUUGAGAUGGAAGUGCACUGGCUGAAGUAAAUAGGGACGAGGUAGAGCCCUUCUAUCUGCUAGAAACUACGUGAUCCUGAAUGCUCAUUUGUCCCAUGCACUACCAAUAAAGAGAUCUCUGAAGUGGAUCUGUCAGCCCCACUCACAGGCUAAAAGCCUCACUUCUGACUCCAUGGGUUUGUAUCUCCCAGCUUUGUGAGUAGGAAGCAGAAUUUUUCCAAUACUCUUGCUCCAAACUGGGGAGUAAGACCACACAGCCAGGUGGCUUCUAGUUAGGCAGCCCCAUGAGUUGUAAAGAUACUUCAAACGCUCUCAGACUCAAUUCUUCUAGCAUGUACAAAUGAUUAAUAGCAGCAAUUCUAUUGCAUCCAGACAUUCAUUUUUCCAAUUGUUUCCCACCCCCUCCCCUCGCUGGGGAAAUGUCAUUUAGCCACUAAGAAACCAAACACAGACAUCAAUAGCUUUAAAACUCUGUUUUUGGUUCACCUUCUGCCGCUGAGACUCUAGUAAGCACAGCACAUAACAUUGCAGUAGUCCAAAGAAAGUCCUCAACCAGCCCUGGAUAGUGGAGGCCCUUGGAGAGACUGAUAAUGACUGAGUCAUGUGGAUUUAACCCAGAAACCCAACAGCCAGCAAGCUAGUCUUCUUCAUCUUGAAAAAUCUUAAUAAUCCAAACAAUAUGUGAAAUAUUAAGCUAGAGCACUUUUAUGAAAUUCCAUAUCAAUUCAGAAACUGGCAUGAAAUUUCUUUCUUUGUUUGUGUUCACAAAUACCCCAUUCAUCAAGAUUGCUAAUGGCUGGGCUUUGCAGACUUAAAAUGUGAGAAAUGAGAUAUUGUAAGAUGACAGUGUAGGGUGUUGGCAGCCUGGGCUGCUAGGUUUCAAAUCCUGGCCCUGCCACUUACUAGUUACAUAACCUUGGAUAUCAUGCUUAACCUCCCUCUCCUCCAUUUCUCCGUCUGUAAGUGGGGAUAAUGUUAGUUAUUUCAUAGGAUUGUUAUGAGAAUUAAUUACUAUAUGUAAAUUGUUUAGAAUAAUCCCUGGACAUCAUAGGAGUUCAAUAAAUGUGAGAUACUAUUAUGUCUGGGUGAAUCUUUUCUCCAUUUACAGAGGAAGAAGGCAAACGACUAAAGCCUGCUGGGGUGGUUACGUUUAUAUUGAUGAGGAGAGAGUAAAGAAUGGAGAAAAGAAAGUGAGAAGUGAGGUCACACAUAGAACCAAGUGGAAAAUACCUGCAGGGCAUUGCAAAGGUGUGGCUGCAGGGCUUCGCUAUUCAUAGAGCAAACUCUGGGAGAAUGUCAUUACAACCACUGACCACUGGCAGGAGCCAUUUGAAAAUUCAGUCAUUUUCUCUCUCUUGUACUUUGAAGAAUUAAAUUACUGUUCACCAGACAAUCCUAUCUCAGAAGCAGAAAGUAACACUAAACUAAUUAACUUUUAACUUUUUUUUUUUUUUUUUUGAGAUGGAGUUUCGCUGUUGUUGCCCAGGCUGGAGUGCAAUGGCGCGAUCUUGGCUCACUGCAGCCUCUGUCUCUUAGGAUCAAGCAAUU